GGGGGGAGGGUAUAGCUCAGGAUGCAUGCCUAGCAUGCAUGAGGUCCUGGGUUCAAUCCCCAGUAUCUCCA
rnacentral:tRNA from 1 species